rnacentral:rRNA from 1 species
GAUGAACGCUGGCGGCGUGCAUAACACAUUCAAGUCGAACGGUGAAGUGACUUCGGUCACGGAUCAGCGGCGGACGGGUGAGUAACGCGUGAAUAACCUGCCUGUAUGUGGGGGAUAACAACCGGAAACAGUUGCUAAUACCGCAUAAUGUAUAAGAGUCGCAUGUCUUUUAUACCAAAGAUUUAUUGCUGAGAGAUGGCCUCGCGUCUGAUUAGCUAGUUGGUGGGGUAACGGCCCACCAAGGCGACGAUCAGUAGCCGGUCUGAGAGGAUGAACGGCCACAUUGGGACUGAGAUACGGCCCAGACUCCUACGGGAGGCAGCAGUGGGGAAUAUUGGGCAAUGGGGGAAACCCUGACCCAGCAACGCCGCGUGAAGGAAGAAGGCCCUCGGGUUGUAAACUUCUUUUACCAGGGACGAAGAACGUGACGGUACCUGGAGAAAAAGCGACGGCUAACUACGUGCCAGCAGCCGCCGUAACAC